rnacentral:rRNA from 1 species
GACGAACGCUGGCGGCGUGCCUAAUACAUGCAAGUUGAGCGAUGAAGAUUGGUGCUUGCACCAAUUUGAAGAGCAGCGAACGGGUGAGUAACGCGUGGGGAAUCUGCCUUUGAGCGGGGGACAACAUUUGGAAACGAAUGCUAAUACCGCAUAACAACUUUAAACAUAAGUUUUAAGUUUGAAAGAUGCAAUUGCAUCACUCAAAGAUGAUCCCGCGUUGUAUUAGCUAGUUGGUGAGGUAAAGGCUCACCAAGGCGAUGAUACAUAGCCGACCUGAGAGGGUGAUCGGCCGCAUUGGGACUGAGACACGGCCCAAACUCCUUCGGGAGGCAGCAGUAGGGAAUCUUCGGCAAUGGACGAAAGUCUGACCGAGCAACGCCGCGUGAGUGAAGAAGGUUUUCGGAUCGUAGAACUCUGUUGGUAGAGAAGAACGUUGGUGAGAGUGGAAAGCUCAUCAAGUGACGGUAACUACCCAGAAAGGGACGGCUAACUACGUG